CUCGUACCUUUUGCAUCAUGGUCUAGCAAGUCCAACCAUGCAAAAUGAAUUUUAGUCUGACCCCCCGAAACUAAGUGAGCUACUUCGAGACAAUCUUAAGAACCAACCCGUCUCUGUUGCAAAAGAGUGGGAUGAUCUCCAAGUAGAGGCGAUAAACCUAUCGCACUUAGAGAUAGCUGGUUAUUCAAGAAAAGAAUUUAAGUUCAACCUAAAAUUUUUUAAUGCUACAAACAAACAAUAAAACUUUAGAGCUAUUCAAAUAAGGCACAGCUUAUUUGAAAAAGGAUUCAACCUACAACAUAGGGUAACACAAUUAAACUAGUAACAAGUGGGCCUAAAAGCAGCCACCUCCAAAAAGCGUUAAAGCUUAGUACUUAUAUUUAUUAAUUACAUUCCUACCCCAGAACCCCUCACCAAUAUUGAAUAACUCCAUAAAUUUAUGGAAGCUAUUAUGCUAGAACUAGUAACAAGAAAUAAAUUUUCUCCUAAAUGUAAGCCUAAGCCACAAUAGACAUACUACCGGCAAUUAACGCAAAUGAAGAUAUUAUAGUAACCCUAACAAGAAAACCCUAUAUUAAAUAACGUUACCCUUACACAAGAACACUAUAGGAAAGGUUAAAAGAAAAAGAAGGAACUCGGCAAACCUUAACCCCGCUGGUUUAC
rnacentral:rRNA from 1 species